rnacentral:rRNA from 1 species
UACGUAGGGGGCAAGCGUUGUCCGGAUUUAUUGGGCGUAAAGAGCGUGUAGGCGGUCAGAUAGGUCCGUUGUGAAAACUCGAGGCUCAACCUCGAGACGCCGAUGGAAACCAUCUGACUAGAGUCCGGAAGAGGAGAGUGGAAUUCCUGGUGUAGCGGUGAAAUGCGCAGAUAUCAGGAAGAACACCCGUGGCUAAGGCGGCUCUCUAGUACGGUACUGACGCUGAGACGCGAAAGCGUGGGGAGCGAGCAGG